UGUCCAGUUAAGUUAUAAUUAUUUUACUGGUUUUUAUUUCUUUCAUACCAAUUCUAUUAACUGUAUCAUUUCUAGGUCUGUUUCUAUUGAUUGAUUUUUCUCCUCAUUAUGGGUUCUAUUUUCCUUCAUCUCUGCCUGCUUACUAAUUGCUUAUUUAAUGACAGUGUGGAUUUUAUCCUGUUGGGUUCUGGGUAUUUUUAUAGUCCUAUAAAUAUUCUUGAGCUUUAUUGUAGGAUGCAAUGAAGAUACUUGAAAAUUUUCAGUCCUUUUAAGAUGUUUAAAGUAUUGCUUUUAGGUCUUGUUAGGUAAGAUCAGAGCAAUGUUUCAUCUAGGGUUACUUUUUCCCCACUGAGGCAAUUGCCUUCUGAGUGCUGUGCUGUGUCCUCCGAAUGAUGAUGUUUUCAUUUUAACUAUCUAGAGUGAAAAUAAUCCUAGCCAUCUCUGAACUCUUGUCAUUUUGGGUAUUUUUUGUCUUUUUUUUUUUUUUAGGGCCACACCUGGGGCAUAUGGAGGUUCCCAGGCUAGGUGUCAAAUUGGAGUUAUAGCUGCUGGCCUAUACCACAGCCACAGCAACGUGGGAUCUGAGCUGCAUUUGUGAUCUAUACCACAGCUCACAGCAGUGCUGGAUCCUUAACCCACUGAGUGAGGCCAGGGAUUGAACCUGCAUCCUCAUGGAUACUAGUCAGAUUUGUUUCUGCUGAGCCACAAUGGGAACUCCCCUGGGUAGUUUUUAAUUCUAAUCUCAAGUGGCUUUCUCAUGUAGAUACACUGGUCAAUUCUCUGAUAAAUACUCAGGUUAGACUCUCUGCAGAUCUCUGUAGUUCCCUCUGUGUGAAAUUGUCUCCUCUCUGCCCUCUGCUUUGGCUUCCCCAGACUCCCAGCUCCAUCUCUCCACCCCAUGGAGACCACCAGGACCCUCCUAUCCUUUCUCCUUGCACACAGUCUGGAACUCUCUCUAGGAAGUAAGCUGUUGGAGUCCUCUCCUUAUUUUCUCCCUAUGUCUCAGGCAAUACUAUUUCUUACUUUCUUUCACUGCCUGAUGUAGUACAAGGUCUUAAAAAGUUUAAAGGAAUUUUCUGUCCAUUUUUGUUUGUUCCAGAUGUGGGGGUGGGGGUAGAUCUGUUCUUGUUAUUCCAUUGUUUUCAGGAGUAAAGUCAAAACUUUUUGUUUUUGAAAUACAGAUUAAUAUAUUUUACCUGGUAUUUACUUUUUCUCCUUUUUGCCUCUUAACUUUUACUCUUCGUUUAAGAAGUUUCUAGCCUUAAACAACCACAGUAUCCUAAAGGGUCCUAGGAGGUGCAAAUGAGGGCUUGUUCAGCAGCAAAGUGCAUGGAUUGGUCACUGAGGGCCAGUAAGCAGUGUUCUGGAAGUCUCAGGAGAUGCCUGCAUGGACAGAUACUUGCAAGGACAUGGUUUUCACUCCUCAUGACACCAUAGCUCCAUGAAACACUUGGGAUUUGGAUAUAACCCCAAGGAAACAGGGAAAUCCCUGAAUUGACUGAGAUUCCAUUUCUUCCAACACAGCGGAAUACAUCUGAAUUUUAUAACUACCUAUAUAAAGCAUUGCAUUGUCUGAGAUGAAUGGAGUAUUAGGACAGAGGAGUUGUUGAUUUUGGUGAGGGGAAUAGAAAAAUGAUGAUUAUAAAUAUUUAUCCAUAUUGGAUUGAGGUGAUGAUGACCAAUAAAAAAUAGGUACACGUAUCAGGGUAAUAAAUGUAAAUUUAGAAUUUGCAUGGGAAUUCCCAUGAGAAUGAAAGAAAUCCCCAAGGAAAUGAGUUUAGACCAAGAGGAAUGAAAAUAAAACUGGUGCGAAGAAGCAAGAGAUGCCAGGAAGCAGGGAAAGAACAUUCAAAGCCACUGGCAAACAAGGCGAGUUAGGGUUCACAGAACAGAAUUUCAAAAAGUAGAUUGUCAGUAAUAUUUUGGGCAGAGAGGAUGUAUUGUGUUAGAUGGAAAAUUCACAGCACACAUGCUGACACUCCUACCUCCCACAUCCUUAGCUGCCAGCACUGAACUACAGUGAUGUUCUUUUUCAUUGGACUCAGGCAUAUCCUCACAGUUCUUCCCAGUUUAGUUUUCUAAGCAUUUAAGAUGAGACCUGUUAGCCUAUUAGAACUAAAGUUAGGGACUCACUUAUAACUUGGGCUUAGAAACACACUUUUCUCUCUGCCACAGUAAGAGAAAUAUUACUCUUGCUUGAUAUACAAUCCAAUAUGUUUAUUGCCCAUUUCUACAUGGCUACUCAAAAGAUCUCUCUUCCUAAUAGUGUCUUACAUUGUAUAGUCCUUCAUUGUUUACAAUCAUGGUUCCAUCCUAUACCAGCUUAUCAUACAAAUUGACCUAAUGGUGGAAUGAACAAAAAUUAUGAUGUUUAUAAAAUUUACUUUAUAACUAUUAUGAAAUUUACAAAUUUUAAUGCAUACAUUAUAAUCUAUAAAAAUUAAUAUUCAUAAUUUCAUAAUAGCAGAGAUUAGAUGACUUGAUCAGAAUCACAUAGAUAAAAGGAAACACAAACCUCUUUUCCAAGCCCAUGAUUUUCUUUUCUGAGGAGAUGUUCAUUUGUGCUGGAUAUUAGAUUCCAGUUAUAAGUGAUAUCAUAUGGUAUUUUUCUUUGUCUUUCUGGCUCAUUUCACUCAGUAUGAGAUUCUCUAGUUCCAUCCAUGUUGCUGCAAAUGGCAUUAUGUCAUUCUUUUUUAUGGCUUAGUAGGAUUCCAUUGUGUAUAUAUACCACAUCUUCUGAAUCCAGUCAUCUGUCGAUGGACAUUUGGGGUGUUUCCAUGUCCUGGCUAUUGUGAAUAGUGCUGCAAUGAACAUGCGGGUGCAUGUGUCUCUUUUAAGUAGAGUUUUGUCCGUAUAGAUGCCCAAGAGUGGGAUUGCGGGGUCAUAUGGAAGUUCUAUGUAUAGAUUUCUAAGGUAUCUCCAAACUGUUCUCCAUAGUGGCUGUACCAGUUUACAUUCCCACCAACCUUCUCUGGGUCCUAGUUGUACUCUUUUUCAGUUUAGUUCACUUUUUCAUAGUUGUCCAGAUAAUAAUUCAGUUUUUCAUGCCUGGCUCUCUACCCUGCACUCUGCUAACAUAGGUGAGGCUGAACUGUUCUGUCUACCUGUUAAAGAAUAUUAAAUUAUUCGGGGUCUACUUGUGCUGACCACUCAAUCACUCAUUGUACAUUUGCUAUUUUGUGUAAUUCUUUUUUUCUCCUUUGUUGAGUAAACAUUUCUAUUUUAUUAACCUCUGAAUUCCUCUUAAAAAGACAAGCAGCAAGUAACAAUUUAGUACUCAUUAAUGUUUUACUUUCACAGAAAUCAGUGAAAGGAAACAUAACCCAUGUAUUGAAUUUCAAAAUGGACUAUUCGCCAUGUAAAGGCCAAAGUCAAAUCCAUCCUAGGAUUGCUCUACCUGUGAAAGGAGUUAAAUUAUUAAAUCUACUUGUGGCACUUACUCUUUGUACCUUUGCUAUUUUCUGUAAUUUAGGAGUUAUUAUUUUAUUUUAGAUGGAUGGAAUUUUUAUUUUUAGGUAUUAUUGUUUUUAAAGUAUUAUUAUUAAACAGUUAAGAGUGAGUACAUUUCAAAUUAUUUUUUAUUUUUAUUAAAGAAUAGUUGAUUUACAGUGUUGCAUCAAUUUCUGCUGUAUAGCGUAGUGACCCAGUCAUACAUUUAUAUUCACUCUUUUUUCUCAAACUGCCUUCCAUCAUAUUCUAUCCCAAGAGCUUGGAUACAGUUCCCUGUGCUAUACAGUAGGACCUCAUUGCUUAUCCAUUCUAAAUGUAAUAGUUUGCAUCUACCAACCCAGUCCUUUUCCAUCCCACUUCCUCCUCUCUGCCUUGGCAACCACAAGCCUGUUCUCUAGGUCUGUAAGUCUGUUUCUGUUUUGUAGAUAGGUUCGUUUGAGCCAUAUUUUACAUUCCAUAUAUAAGAAAUACCAUAAAUUGGAGUUCCCAUCAUGGCACAGAGGAAAAAAACCUGACUAGGAACCAUGAGGUUGCGGGUUCGAUCCCUGGCCUUGCUCAGUGGGUUAAGGAUCCAGCGUUGCCAUGAGCUGUGGUGUAGGUCACAGACAUGGCUCAGAUCUGGUGUUGCUGUGGCUGUGGAGUAGGCCCCUAGCCUGGGACCUUCCAUAUGUUGUGGGUGUGGCCCUAAAAAGACAAAAGCCAACAAAAAAAUAAUAAAAGAAAUAGCACAAAUCAUAUGGUAUUUGUCUUUUUCUUUAUUACUUCACAUAGUAUGAGAAUCUCUAGUUGGACCCAUGUUCCUGCAAAUGGCAUUAUUUUGCUGUUUUUUAUGGCUGAGUAGUAUUCCAUUGUAUAUAUUUACCAUGUCUUAAUCCAUUCAUCUGUUGAUGGACAUUUAGGUUGUUUCCAUGUCUUGGCUAUCGUGAUUAGUCUGUGAUGAACAUAGGGAUGCAUUUGUCUUUUUGAAUUAUUUUAUACGUGAGCACACAGAGGCUUGGAGAGAUUAAAUAACUUACCCACGAUUUGACAGUUAAUUGUUGAUUGGAAUUCUAACCAUUAUAAUUCUAUUGGUUUUUUUCCUGGGCUUCAACCUCUUGAACUAAAAAUCUUCUAACAGCUCUUCAUGUCUUUAGUUACCUCUCCUGAGUCAUUCAUUUGUAAUGUACCCCCCACCACCAUCCAAACCACCCCCUUUCCUUGCAACCACCAAAGAUAUAAGGGCUGUAAAGAUGAAUGUCUGGCUGUCUGUGGGUCUGUGGUCCACGUGGUAUCCAGCAUCUGAAACACAAACAUCUGGACCACUCUUGUUCCUUGACUUGCAAAAAGCCAUUAAUCACUCCUGGAAAAGUCAGAGUAGUUUCUUUUCUAUGAUCUGGUAAUCAAUCCUGGGAUCUUUGGUCAGUUGAAAUUCUGUUUGACCACCACGCUCUUAAUCCAGAGCCUAGGUGCAUGGCCGGGAGAAUCCUCAUUCCUUUUAACAGCCUGCUCUUUGCUAGCAUGCAGAUAGCCUCAUCUCACUGGUGUAAGUUUUUUCCUCUGAGGUUAGCAUCUGGGCAGACUGACAGUGCGUGAGUGGUAUCAUCACCAUCUGCAUUUGCCUGGUAGGGAUCUUACCAGCUGUUCUACAGGAUCCUGUGAACUCUGUGUCCUCAAGGGAAAGCAAAACAGAGGAACACCAAGUCCUUUUUUCCUUCUGAAGGGGAAUAUGAGUGUAAGGAACCUGGGGGUACAGAGCAAGGCAAAGGGAACCCCACAUUUGUUGCAGCGAGGGUUUGCUUUUGUGCGUGCCUGAGGACUGGUGAGACCAGAGUAAGGCUUGCGGAUUCAGAACAGGAAAUCACAGAACUUGAGUUUGUGUUUGACUCGCAGGAACAUGUCACACUGGGUAUUCAAACCCCCCCACCAGCAUUUCAGAAGAGGAGAAGGGGAGUUCCUGUCAUGGCGCAGUGGUUAACGAAUCCGACUAGGAACCAUGAGGUUGCGGGUUCGAUCCCUGGCCUUGCUCAGUGGGUUAAGGAUCCAGCGUUGCCAUGAGCUGUGGUGUAGGUCACAGACAUGGCUCAGAUCUGGUGUUGCUGUGGCUGUGGAGUAGGCC
ensembl:lncRNA